AUGUGAGAUGGGGCACCCCAUAUAUUUGCCUAAAGAGACUGAUUACAUGCUAAUUAAGUUUGAUUUUAUUGAAAAAAAAAUCAGAUUAAAAAGGUAGAGUUUCUUAUGAGAUAAGGAUGUACCUUUUUAAGUUAAUUAGAUUGUUUUUUGAGUCAAGGUAGAUCCUAUAUAAAGAGGUUUCUUAAGGUUUUUAAUUAGUUGAAUUUUGUGAGACAAAGACUCUCCCUCUCCCUUCUCCAUGCCUCCCC
rnacentral:lncRNA from 1 species